rnacentral:rRNA from 1 species
CAGUCGCCGCGGGAAUACGUAGGGUGCGAGCGUUAAUCGGAAUUACUGGGCGUAAAGCGUGCGCAGGCGGUUAUAUAAGACAGAUGUGAAAUCCCCGGGCUCAACCUGGGACCUGCAUUUGUGACUGUAUAGCUAGAGUACGGUAGAGGGGGAUGGAAUUCCGCGUGUAGCAGUGAAGUGCGUAGAUAUGCGGAGGAACACCGAUGGGGAAGGCAAUCCCCUGGACCUGUACUGACGCUCAUGCACGAAAGCGUGGGGAGCAAACAGGAUUAGAUACCCCGGUAGUCCCUGUCUCUUAUAA